AGAUGAACAAAAUCCCCAAUUCCUCCAAACCCUAGUUCCUCUUUGCCAUUCAUGAACCCUAAUAUCCCAACUCGGCUCGUGACAAACUAUAGUAAUCUAAAUACUUCCGACAACUAUAUCACGAUAUAUAUAUUCUAAAGUAUUCUCCUAAAAUUAAUAAAGAAUUACGUAAAAUGUUUCCACCACAUUGAUAACUAUCCUUCAACCCCCCCAAAUACAGUCGUUAUAGAGAAAGUUCCAAACCUGAGGGGUGGGUGCGGCGCCAAAUUCCCAAUUCCCGUCAGUUGAGGAUUCGUUCCCUUAAAGAUGGAUAAAGGAAAGAAACGCAGAAGAGAAGACGAAGAGAUCGAGGCUGUUGACAGCGACGCUAAUCAUUCUCUUUCCCUCGAACAAAAUCUUAGCUUUAGCGACACUUUAGUGGCGCUUCGUAUGAUGCGAGCUCAGUUUCCUCAUAUUGAUAAGGUGUCGAUUCAACCUUUUAUUUUGCAGUCACAAUUGUAUAGCAGUGUAAAGGACAGAACGCAAGUGGAUAGGGAGCUAGAGUCUCUAAGGAGGGAUAAAGUAGUGCGCGUUUUCAAACUAAAUACGGGGCAAGAUGAUCAUGGUAUAAUGUUUUUAGAUGAUUAUCUAAAACAGGUAGAGCAUGUUGUCAAAAGAAUGGAAGAAAAGAAACAAUGUGAUCUUCAAGUUUUUAAGUGGUUCAAAGUGCAUGUUAUUGAGUCCAAGCUAGAACCUUGCAUCGGACAUCAAGAACUUUAUGCACUCUUAUCACUAGGGGGACGGAUGAAAGAUGAGCACAUAUCCCUCCUAAUCAAUUCUGGCUUUCUUACUCACCAAUUGAUUGACCCAAGUAUGUACUGGUUUGCAAUUCCAAAUAUUGGUUCAAUACUAAAAGGCCUCUCCCAGGGAAGGAAGGAACUCCUCUCUCUUUUAAAUCGUAGGAGAUAUAAAAAGAUGAUGUUAGCCCCUUUGGAGAAGAAGCACCUUCGAUUGUCUCCUCUUGAUAUGAGGUUUCACCUUCGGGACUUGAUUGGAUCGGGUCAUAUUAAAACAGUCCAUACACCAACUGGUAUAGUUGUUCGGGUUUCAAAGGAUUAGAUCUCAGGAAGAUACUACAAGCAGUGACAGGUGGAUUAUUUUGCUUCUCUUUUGGCUCAAUCUUGAAUAUGAGGUUGAUGGAAUAACUGCAGACAAUUUUCACGCAAUCAUGUGAUGUUUCAAUGAAUGCAGGAUGAAGUGAGUGUCUUUUCUUCUAAAUCUUGUAUAUUCAUUUAUUUGGCAACCUUCCAUGAUUGAAUUCUUGAGAAUUUAUACUGUUCAAGAGAGAAAAUACAUGCUAGUUUUUU